AAUGCAUAUAUGUAUUUGCAAUUUAUGUAUGUUUUUCUGUGCAUUUUAGUUAUUACCCUUGCCUGAUUCAUGGCCUGUUUCACCUGAUUUCGUUGAAGAAGAAUGUUAUCUUACUAAUAUUCGACUUCGAGGCAAUACUGAAUGGGCCCCACCUAGAGCUCAGAUAAUCAGUAUUAUUCACCCUCAUUUAAA